rnacentral:rRNA from 1 species
AGGACGAUGAACGAUUCACCGAAAACUAAAAUACAAAAUAAAGUUGAUACAGAUUUAAAUUUAAAAGUCGUUUGAGUUUGAUCAUGGCUCAGAUUGAACGCUGGCGGCAGGCCUAACACAUGCAAGUCGAACGGUAACAGGAAGCAGCUUGCUGCUUUGCUGACGAGUGGCGGACGGGUGAGUAAUGUCUGGGAAACUGCCUGAUGGAGGGGGAUAACUACUGGAAACGGUGGCUAAUACCGCAUAACGUCGCAAGACCAAAGAGGGGGACCUUCGGGCCUCUUGCCAUCAGAUGUGCCCAGAUGGGAUUAGCUUGUUGGUGAGGUAACGGCUCACCAAGGCGACGAUCCCUAGCUGGUCUGAGAGGAUGACCAGCCACACUGGAACUGAGACACGGUCCAGACUCCUACGGGAGGCAGCAGUGGGGAAUAUUGCACAAUGGGCGCAAGCCUGAUGCAGCCAUGCCGCGUGUAUGAAGAAGGCCUUCGGGUUGUAAAGUACUUUCAGCGGGGAGGAAGGUGUUGUGGUUAAUAACCGCAGCAAUUGACGUUACCCGCAGAAGAAGCACCGGCUAACUCCGUGCCAGCAGCCGCGGUAAUACGGAGGGUGCAAGCGUUAAUCGGAAUUACUGGGCGUAAAGCGCACGCAGGCGGUCUGUCAAGUCGGAUGUGAAAUCCCCGGGCUCAACCUGGGAACUGCAUUCGAAACUGGCAGGCUUGAGUCUUGUAGAGGGGGGUAGAAUUCCAGGUGUAGCGGUGAAAUGCGUAGAGAUCUGGAGGAAUACCGGUGGCGAAGGCGGCCCCCUGGACAAAGACUGACGCUCAGGUGCGAAAGCGUGGGGAGCAAACAGGAUUAGAUACCCUGGUAGUCCACGCCGUAAACGAUGUCUACUUGGAGGUUGUGCCCUUGAGGCGUGGCUUCCGGAGCUAACGCGUUAAGUAGACCGCCUGGGGAGUACGGCCGCAAGGUUAAAACUCAAAUGAAUUGACGGGGGCCCGCACAAGCGGUGGAGCAUGUGGUUUAAUUCGAUGCAACGCGAAGAACCUUACCUGGUCUUGACAUCCACAGAACUUUCCAGAGAUGGAUUGGUGCCUUCGGGAACUGUGAGACAGGUGCUGCAUGGCUGUCGUCAGCUCGUGUUGUGAAAUGUUGGGUUAAGUCCCGCAACGAGCGCAACCCUUAUCCUUUGUUGCCAGCGGUCCGGCCGGGAACUCAAAGGAGACUGCCAGUGAUAAACUGGAGGAAGGUGGGGAUGACGUCAAGUCAUCAUGGCCCUUACGACCAGGGCUACACACGUGCUACAAUGGCGCAUACAAAGAGAAGCGACCUCGCGAGAGCAAGCGGACCUCAUAAAGUGCGUCGUAGUCCGGAUUGGAGUCUGCAACUCGACUCCAUGAAGUCGGAAUCGCUAGUAAUCGUGGAUCAGAAUGCCACGGUGAAUACGUUCCCGGGCCUUGUACACACCGCCCGUCACACCAUGGGAGUGGGUUGCAAAAGAAGUAGGUAGCUUAACCUUCGGGAGGGCGCUUACCACUUUGUGAUUCAUGACUGGGGUGAAUCUAAGGGGGGAACCCCCAAAAAAAGAAG